rnacentral:lncRNA from 1 species
CAGGGCUUUCAAUAGAAGGCGGUAGGCGGCGAUUUUCGUCGUCUACUUGAAGGAAAUCCGCCGUCUACUUUGCUCAAAAUUGUAAAAUUAAAAAAGUAAUAAAAAUGACUGAAGGGGAAAUUUACGCUGUUGACACAACCAGGGGAUUUCCGAUAAAGUGUGGUUGAUAUUUAUAACCUUUCCCUAUCUACGUGAAGUGACCCGAGUAGUCACGAACGCCUAGGCUGGGAUCGCUAUCAACAAGGAGAGUAAGGCGAAAACUACUGAAAGUAGAAACCAGCAGAAGGCACCCGAACACCGUCCGUAAACAGACUCCUGAUUGGUCGAUUUACAACCGGUUUUCUUAAACGACCUACGAUUGGUGUAAUUAAUAGGCGUGUACGAAAAUGAGUAAACGAAAACAAAGUGACAUCAGUCAAUGGAUUAGAAAAAUACAAAAAC